rnacentral:lncRNA from 1 species
CCAGGUAAGACAAUAGCAUCCACCGCCGUCCCGCUGGUGUUGACUGUGGCCCUCGUUGGAGUUUGGUAGUAAUAUGCUCACAGGCACAAAUAAGUUUGAGCUAACCAGCUAUGGCCCACACAAGGAUCAGUACUAGUACCUGCCAUUCAAAUGUCACUGUAGCUGAAGGAUAGGUCCACGGUGGCAUCCUGGACUAAAGAUCUGCAUUCCACUGGGGAUGGAGACUGCCUUGCCCUCCACCCCCACAUCCUGGAAAAACCACUGCUGGACCAGCAUCGACAUCAUGCAGCAAUACAUGGGCUCACUGGACCAUCUCCAGUACAUAGUUUGUAUAUUCUAGUUGUAAGUCCUUCUAGUUCUUCUACGUGAGCCACAGCCACAGCAUGGCUACUGACAGACAAGUCGUGUGUUUCUGCAGCCAGGAACUGAAGCCGGACCAUUGAAGUGGAGUGCACUGAACUUCAACCGCUGGGCCAUUGUGGCUGGAUCAAAUUUUGGAAUUUUAAGCAAGA